rnacentral:lncRNA from 1 species
AGAUUCGGUGAGACCGGACAAAAUUGGUCCUUCUUAAAAGUCUUUGCUCCAUUCUCAUUACACGACAACGAGCAAAGAGGGGCAACUCUAAGAGCCCAAUUUUUCUCGGGUCCUAAACAGCAACCAAAAAAAUAAAAAUAAAGAUAAAAAUAAAAAUUAACAGUCCCAAUCCAAUUACAAAAAAAAAGAGAGGCCCAAAUGGCCCAAAAUAAUCAAGAAACCCUAAUGGCUU